CAUCAGGAAGACCCACCAAAGGAUAGGAAAACUUUGUGGCUAGUGAGGUAGAACGAAAAUCAGUUGGAAGCUAAGGGAAGAAAAUGCUUCAAGAAGAAUAGAGAGAUCAAAUGUAACAAAUGUUGCUGAUAGAUCAAGUGAGAGAUAAGAAAUGAGAUGAGACCAUUGGAUUUAGAACAUGGAGGCUGGGAUUCACAGUUCCAUUUAAAUUUCAAUCAUCAAUAACAUUGUAUUUUGUAAUACUCUCAGAGAAAAGGGGAGACAAGUGUUUCAAGCUUGGUGGCUUGAACAAACUCUCACUAAUUUACUUAUAGUGGUAGCAUUGAUUUCAUCUGUACUCCUUUUUUUUUUUUUCCUGUAAUCGAUCUCACUGUCAAAAUCCAACCUGAGAACAAUGGAAUGGUUGUAUUCAGGUGAUGGCUGAAAGGAAGUCACUGGAAGGUGUGACAGGGCUGGAGGACCACAAUGGCUCAAUUACAUGGACGAUAUUUGAUCAUGGAUGUAAGCUGAGAGCUCGUUGGCAGCUGUUGACCAGAGCUCCUAUACAUGGUCUCUCUUUGUGGCUUAGAUUUCUCCCAUUAUGGUAUAUGGCUGACAAGAGGGACGUGUCAAAGGCAAGUUUUUAAGGCACCUCCAUGGAAGCUGAAAGCCUUCUAAUAAUCUACUUUCAGAAGCCCUAGAACACAAUUUUUGCUACACUAAGGCCAGCUCAGACUCAAGGGGAGAAGAACUAAACUCAAUCUCUUGAUGUGAGGAACAGCAUUCAUGUAAAGUAAAGAAAGGAAUAAACGAGGCCUUCUUUGGAG